rnacentral:rRNA from 1 species
UACGAAGGGGGCUAGCGUUGCUCGGAAUCACUGGGCGUAAAGCGCACGUAGGCGGAUCUUUAAGUCAGGGGUGAAAUCCUGGAGCUCAACUCCAGAACUGCCUUUGAUACUGGGGAUCUCGAGUCCGGGAGAGGUGAGUGGAACUGCGAGUGUAGAGGUGAAAUUCGUAGAUAUUCGCAAGAACACCAGUGGCGAAGGCGGCUCACUGGCCCGGUACUGACGCUGAGGCGCGAAAGCCAGGGGAGCAAACGGG